UACGUAGGGGGCUAGCGUUGUCCGGAAUCAUUGGGCGUAAAGCGCGUGUAGGCGGUCCGGUAAGUCCGCUGUGAAAGUCGGGGGCUCAACCCUCGGAUGCCGGUGGAUACUGUCGGGCUUGAGUACGGAAGAGGCGAGUGGAAUUCCUGGUGUAGCGGUGAAAUGCGCAGAUAUCAGGAAGAACACCUAUGGCGAAAGCAGCUCUCUGGGACGGUACUGACGCUGAGACGCGAAAGCGUGGGGAGCGAACAGG
rnacentral:rRNA from 1 species